UGGUGGAGUUGCUAGCGUUUAUUACGUUGGACCCAAUGGAUGGAAAAAGCUUUCUGGCGAUGAUGUAGGAGAACUUCAUUACAACUACUAUCCCGUGACGCCAAGUACAGUCGAUCAGGAAAUGGCUGAAGUAACCGUUGCUUGAUGAUCCCAUAUAGACAUGAGCAGGUUGAGAUAUUCUCUCCCUAUGCAUUUGUUUUAGGGAGAACUGAUUCUAAAGAGAUGCUCUAGAUGUGGUAUUUUUAAGUUGGAUUGGAUCUAGGUUUG
rnacentral:misc_RNA from 1 species